UGACUAACAGUCACAAAUCCAACUGUAAAGUGUUCGACUAGGUGUCAGAUUGUGGAUGGGAGCCAAAGGAAUUCAAAAUUUACUUACAUAGGCAGCACUUCCAGUCAACCUUCUGAGCCCUUUUGAACUGCUUCUCUGACAUAGAAAGAAGUUCCUCUGCCAUUGUCAGUCGCAGAUGUUCCAUGCGCUCCUUGGAUGAGUUUAGAGUCAAAUGGCAAGGGAUAUUUGGAAAUGCACCAACAACUUCUUUUGCCAUCUACAUAAGACAAGAUAAGGUACACUCCAGGGUUCUUAUAAGACUGAACUAAAUCAACAUUCUGCUCUACAAAUUCAUAAGAACUGUGACAGAGUUUAUUAUAAGAUAAACUCUUUGUUUUUCUUUAUGUCAUACAAUUUAAUGAGGAAAUCCAGCCUGCAUGACAAACACUCCACAGCUGUACCAGUCCU